UCUGCGUGUCGUGCAGAUAGACAUCACAUCCCUCCCCUCCCAUGUACAGCAUCCACAUCUCGACAGAGCCAACUCUCCUCCCGGGCCCGUCCUUCCUCAAUACCAUGACACUGCUGUCUAUCUGCACGACUUCAUCGAGGUUAGGUAUCCUCACGGGCAUGUUCCUGAGUUGUGGAGUGAUACUGGCCGGGAGGUAUCCCAAAUCAACAGCAACUGAUGAUUAAUUACUCAAAAGAGAGUCGAUAAAAUUUGAGCCAUCAUUCUGCUUCACGAUGAUUCAUGGCCGAUGAUGAAUGGCGUCACUACAGAUUGGGGGAUUCACACGUGGAUAUCAUUGAAGCUAAUAGAUUGAUAUUGAUUUAUUUCUGAUGGCGUCUUAGUCACUUUAUGCAAAUAUUUUUAGGUUGGUGUGUGGUGAGAGUAUCACUACUACAUUAAUUUUUCUAUAAUGUCACAUCAUGUUGUAAGCUGAAAGUGCAUAUAAUUUAUCACUUCGUGUUCUGUUUGUUUUC